AGAAGGACAGGGUGGGAUGGGGGAGGGAGUGACAAUGGGAAGACUGAAGGACUGAGUCAUUCAGGGCCUGGGGUGUCACCAUCUCUCAGAAGAGGAGUUCUCUCAGCCCUGGUCCUCUCCAAUCUCCUCACAGAGAGUUCCAGAGUUCCAGAGUGAAAUAUGACUUGCUGUAAAACUCUGUAUUGUGUUCUGCAAGUCAUACUGGAAGAAACAAAGGAUUCUUGUUAAUUCUGCAUUCUUGCCCAUCCCGUUUGUGAAGGUCAAGCUAAUUUACUCCCAUGUGAGUGAGUCCAGUGUGCUUGUCGUGAAUGACAGCUGGGCCCUGAUGGAUGUCAAGUGGUUGCAAGAGCUCCAAGGCAGGAACCUUCUUCUAGGCAAAAGCAACCUAAGACGUUGUCCACAGAUGCCUACAGGAGAAAAUCCAAAUUCCUUAACAUGGGUACAUACCUCCUUCACAAGUUUGCACUGUAUCCUGCUUCAGCAUCAUUUUUUUUGCCAAACCCGACUUGCACUCCCAUUCUCCAGCCACACCAAGCUAUUUGCCAAAUGGGCCCAGUGUUUAUAAACCUCAGCCUGGAAUGUCCUUCCAUGCCCUGGUUAACGCUUACUCAUGUUACACGACCCAACUGAAGCUCUUCUUGGCCCUCCACACCUUUUUGUGGAGUGCUGUGUCUCCUGCUUUGUGGCCCUCUGUACCUGUAAAUACUUCCAUAGUUGUACCAAUAACGUCUCUUUUUCUCUGGCUGUUUACAUAUCUGACAGUCCUUCUGUCUAUAAGUUCUUUUGAGGCAAGGCCGGUUUUUUUCCAGCUUUGUAUGUCCACUGCAGAUGCUCAAUUAAUGUUUUCUUAAAAUUAAUAAAUUAAAAAGUUGAAUGACUGGUUAAUUAGUUGUUCCCAAUUCUCAACUUUCUCAUAUUAAUGGAAGCUUUUUAGGGCUUUAUUUUUGUUUGUUUGUAAGUGUGUGAGUCUGUCGGCCUGUCUUAGACGGGUGCUGCUCAAACUGUAAUGUGCCUGGGAAUCUUGUGAGCACGCAGAUUAGGGCAAGUCUGAGUGGAGCCUGAGAUUCUGCAUUCCUAACAGGCUCCCAGGUGAUGCUGAUACUGCCGGUCCAAGGAGCAUAUUUUGCACAGCAAAGUCAGCAGGCAACAGGGUCUCUAGAGGGCAGAGGUUGCUGUCUGUAAGUAGAGGAAGCCCUAAAAAACAAGUGAAGACUUAGUGAAGAUGACAAUUAGAUGACAAGGAACAUACUUUGUAUCCAUCAUUUCCAUCCAGGAGCUUUGGUCUCCUAUGGAAUUCAUCUUCGGUGAUGGGCUGAGCUUUUCUGGAGCUCUUAUUUCUCAUUUUCUCCAGCUGGAGUCCAGCUUAGGCCACAAACAUUGCUCCCUCCGUACCUUUGUGAUAGUUGCCAGGAGCUCAGCUGAGCUGGGAGAGAGAACACUGAUCUGACAGGUGUGGGAGUAGCUGAUGAAAGCAACAAGCCUAAAAUGAAAAAGUUAAGCCAUUAAUCACUUACUGUGAUGGUAUAAGCAAGAGUCUAAUACUGGAAAAGGUGCCACCUCCCCCUGUUCCAAUUCCCCCUUGGAACUGCACGCCAGUCCAUGUUCAGGUGGAUCAGCGUAGAUGUGCGGGUUGUCUAGCUGUUGGAGCUGCUGAAUAAGAGACUUCGGUUUUGUGGACCCUGAGGUGGAGGGAGCGUGAGGGGGAAGGGCUAGGAGUGGAAAAGUACUGGGUACUGAGUCAGAGUAGGGAAAGUGUCUUCACAGUUUCCUCCCUACCCCCUCCCCAUCAAGGGGCCCAGCAGAGACAGGGACAGGCGCCUGAAGAGGACCUCCGCCCAAGGCCUCAGAAGGAGAGACCUGGGAACGAAGGUGCCUCUGGGCAAGGAGUGUAAAUAUGCGAAGAGCAUGGCCAGCGAGGGGGCUGAGUCCUUGACUGCACUCCCUCCAGAAACCGCCAUGCACGGGCUGCCUACGAGCUUGCUGUGGGGAGGGCAGCCUCUCCAGGCUGCCGGGCAAAGCCUCAGUAAUUGCCUGUGGUCAGGCCUGAAAAAUCACACAGUCACACAUGGGUUUUUAACCAGGAGCUGGACUCCUCAGUAGUUUUUCUCACCCAAGUGUUCGCUUGAAAUUCAUUCAUAUUCAUUCCCUCCCUGUCUCUCUCCGGCCCUCUCCCCCUCUACCCUGCCUUCCUCCCACACCCUCGCCCCCUGCAAUCCUACGCAUCCUUCUCAGCUAUAUUAGUUGCUUAUUGUUGCAUAACCAAGCACUCCAAAACUCAAAACAACAAACGUUUAUUAUCUCACAGUUUCUGUGAGUCAGGAAUCAAGAUGCAGCUUAGGUAGAUGCCUCUGGUUCAAAGUCUCUCGUAAGGUUGAAAACCGUCAGCCAAGGUUGCAGUCUCAUGUUGACUAGGGGGGACCACUCCCAAAUUCACUUGUGUGGUCAUUGGCAGUGUUCAGUUCCUUGCAGGCUGUUGGCAGGAGGCCUACCUCCGUUCCUCGCCACGUGAACCUUUCCUUAGGGCAUCUUAUAA